GGGGAUUUAGCUCAGUGGUAGAGCGCUUCCCUAGGAAGCGCAAGGCCCUGGGUUCGGUCCCCAGCCCCG
rnacentral:tRNA from 1 species